GCUCCUGAGUAGCUGGGAUUACAGGCGCCCUCCACCACGCCCGGCGAAUUUUUGUAUCUUUAGUAGAGACAGGGUUUCACCACGUUGGCCAGGUUGGUCUUGAACUCCUGACCUCAUGAUCCGCCUGCCUCGGCCUCCCAAAGUGUUGGGAUUACAGGUGUGAGCCACCGCACCCGGCCUCUGAGAAAUAUUUAGAUUGUACGCCUCAAAUGGGCAGGGACUGUGUCUUACACUUUUGUAUUUAUGCUACAGCUUACCUAAUACAGUGCCAGGCCUCGUUAAACACUUAUUGAUUGCUCAGACGAUAAAGAACUUGCUUUGGAAGGAGGAGAGGAUAGUCAUGUGCUUCUGAAUGUAUUGAACUUCUUGAAAUCUCUUUCCUCAUCAAUUUUAGCAGAGUUUCUAUUGAAACUCCUAGGGUGUGUUUAUGGAAGACAAACUGAGAUGUGCUGUCCCAGCCUUAGGCCCUGGCAGUACGCCUUGCCUUUUCACGGCACACCCACUACAGCCUUUCCCACACUGUGACACUGGAGCUGGUGAGUCAGAUGCAUGGCAUGGGAAGCCCUCUCUAGGAGGAUGCUGUGGCCACACAAGCGCUGGACGAACCGCUGGAGUAGGUGACUUCCAAGGUGUCCUGAUGUAGUAGCUAUUAGACAAGCUCCUGCAUUUGGCCAGUAAUUAGCAUGCUGCUGCACAUUGCCACUAGGUGGUGCUGCUGCUCCAUUCCCAAGUAACCCACAUGCAUCCCUGGCUGGGGUCAGCCUUGGGGUUUCCCAAGUGUAGAGGAAUCCAUCUCUGUGCCUGUGGUAAUGGCUGGACACCAGGAGAGACCCAGAAAACAGGGAUAUCCUAGAAGAGAAAGGCAAAAUAAGCACUCAGAGCAGAGGACAUUUGAGUGUCAAUAAUGAAGGUGGCAGCAGUAAUCAUGGCUAUCAUUUACUAAAAAUAGUGGAUAUUGGCCAGACAUGGUGGCUCACACCUGUAAUCCCAGCAUUUUGGGAGACCAAGGUGGGUGGAUCACUUGAGGUCAGCAGUUCGAGACCAGCCCGGCCAACAUGGUGAAACUAUCUACUAAAAAUACAAAAAUUAGCCAGGUGUGGUGGUGCACGCCUGUAGUCCCAGCUACUCGGGAGGCUGAGGAAGGAGAAUCACUUGAACCUGGGAGGUGGAGGCUGUAGUGAGCUGAGAUCGCAUCACUGCACUCCAGCCUGGACAACAGAGCAAGACUGUCUCAAAAAAAAAAAGUAGAUACUGUGCUAGUCACUUGAUACACAUCAUCUCUGAUCUUUGCACUGAGCGAGGCAUGUGUAUUAUGUCUGCAUUACAAAAGGGGAAAAAUUAAGGUUCAAGAAGAUAAAGUCACCAGGCAUGGUGGCGCAUGCCUGUGAUCGCAGCACUUUAAGAGGCUGAGACAGGCGGAUUGGUUGAAUCCAGGAGUUCAAGACCAGCCUGGGCAACAUAGUGAGACCUCAUCUCUACAAAAAAAAUAAAAUUAGCUGGGUGUGGUGGUGUGUGCCUGUAGUCACAGCUCCUCGGGAGGCUGAUGUGGAAGGAUCACUUGAGCCCGGGAGAUAGAGGCUGCAGUGAGAUGAGACUGAGCCAUUGCACUCAGCCUAGGCAACAGAGUGAGACCCUGUCUCAAAACAAAACAGAAAUAACAAAAAAUAAGGUGACUUGCUGGAGGCCACAUGGCUGUGAGCCAAAUACAGGUCUGGGUUAUCAGGGCUCACAUACUUCUAAGUACACCCUACUGCCUUGGAAUCUGCUGAAGACCAAGCCCCUGCCCCCAAGCCAUGGCAAAGAAGGAGGGAAGGAAGCAAAGGUGCCCAGCGGGGACAACUCGGGGAGGGGCGAGGUGCCCAGGGCCCAGGAAGGCCAAGCAGCAUGUGGCAGGGCAGCAUCAGGUGACUCCCAAGAAGGAAUGAGGAGAGGAUGUGAGGAAAGAGCCACAGCACAGAGGCCUGCUGUUAGGUCAGCGGAGACCACGGCCCAUGGGACCUGGAUCUACCCUUGAUGCUAACAAUGUUCUUUGGGGAAAAAAUCUAUAAUCACAAAGUUUCUGCAACUGGACUGUAGUCAUGGUUGCAGAACUGUAUAGAUUUACUAGGAACCAUCAAAUUGUUCACUUACAAUGGGUAAAUUGUACAGUACAUAGGUUAUCCCUCAGUAAAGCUGUAUGAAAUUUAUAGUCAUGAAACUAAUAGUGACAAACGAGCUGGGUAAGUAGGUCUCAGCUGUUCUGUAGGCACUUUGAGAAGAGGAAGAGUAGCAUCUCGGUUUUAAUAAAAGAAAGCCUGGCCCAUGGCGUCCAGCUUCUGCUUGAAUACUUUCAGUGCCCGGGAGCUCAGUAUCUCAAAGCAGCCCACUCCUGUUUAAGAGAACUCUAAACCUUAGAAUGUUGAAAUACAUCAUUAUUAUUCUAGUACUGCUGUGAAAAAUAAAUGUCUUUGUUUUGCCACAUAACA
rnacentral:lncRNA from 1 species